GCUUGUCCGGGGGACUGCGGGAAGGGCCCAAGUAAGGGGGGGGGAACCUGCCUGGAGACUGGGAUAACUCCGGGAAACCGGGGCUGAUACCGGAUAAUUUAGUUCUUCGCAGGAGAAACUGUUGAAAGGGGGCUUCGCCUACCCCUUACAGGGGGGAACCCCGGACGGCGUAGGAAGUUGGGGAGGUCACGGCUCCCCAAAGGAACUGUGGGGAGUUGACCUUGGGGGGGUGGGUGGGUCUCCCUUGGAUGGGAACACGGCCCAGACUCCUACGGGGGGAACAAGGGGGGAUCCUUCCGCAAUGGAGAAAGUUUGAGGGACCAACCCCCCCUGGAGUUAAGGAGGGUUUUUUGGGCCCCAAAAAAUUUUUUUGUUAGGGGAAGGAAAAAGUACCCGUUUCAAUUGGGGCCGGCCACCUUUGCCGGGCCCUAAACAAGAAAACCCCCGGCUAAUUACGGGCCAACCCCCCGGUAAAUAUGUGAGGUGGGCAAGUGUUUGUUCCCGAAAUUUUUUGGGCGUAAAGGCCCCCCCAGGGGGGUUUUCUUAAAGUUGGAGGGGGAAACCCCCCGGCCCCAACCGGGGGGGGGGCCUUGGGGAAACUGGGGGAAAUUUGGGGCGCCGAACAAAGAAAAGUGGAAUUUUUCUAGUGUUGGCGUGAAAAGGCGAGAAUUUUUGGGAGGGAACCCCCCGGGGGCAAAGGCGAUUUUUCGGGCCUGGGAAAUGAAAACUGAAGGCCCGGAAAAGCGUGUGGGCAAAAAAGGAAUUUUUUGGAGGAACCCAGUUGGCGAAAGGCGGACUUUCUGGUCUGUAACUGUCACUGAGGCGCGAAAAGCGUUGGAGAGCAAACAGAGUUUAGAUAACCUGGUUGUCCCGCCGUAAACGAUGAGAUGCUAAGUGUUAGAGGGUUUCCGCCCUUUAGUGCUGCCCGCUAACGCCAUAAAGCACUCCGCCUGGGGAGGUACGGUCGCAAGACUGAAACUUCAAAAGGAAUUGACGGGGGCCCGCACAAGCGGUGGAGCAUGUUGGUUUUAAUUCGAAGCAACGCGAAGAAACCUUACCAGGUCUUGACAUCCUCUGACAACCCUAGAGAUUAGGGCUUUUCCCUUCGGGGGACAGAGUGACAGGUGGUGCAUGGUUGUCGUCAGCUCGUGUCGUGAGAUGUUGGGUUAAGUCCCCGCAACGAGCGCAACCCUUGAUCUUAGUUGCCAGCAUUCAGUUGGGCACUCUAAGAUGACUGCCGGUGACAAACCGGAGGAAGGUGGGGAUGACGUCAAAUCAUCAUGCCCCUUAUGACCUGGGCUACACACGUGCUACAAUGGACGGUACAAAGGGCAGCGAGACCGCGAGGUUUAGCCAAUCCCAUAAAACCGUUCUCAGUUCGGAUUGCAGGCUGCAACUCGCCUGCAUGAAGCUGGAAUCGCUAGUAUUCGCGGAUCAGCAUGCCGCGGUGAAUACGUUCCCGGGCCUUGUACACCCGCCUAUCACACCACGAGAGUUUGUAACCCGAAGCGGUGAGGGUAUCUUAA
rnacentral:rRNA from 1 species